rnacentral:rRNA from 1 species
AUUGAACGCUGGCGGAAUGCUUUACACAUGCAAGUCGAACGGCAGCACGGACUUCGGUCUGGUGGCGAGUGGCGAACGGGUGAGUAAUGUAUCGGAACGUGCCCAGUCGGGGGGGAUAACGUAGUGAAAAUUACGCUAAUACCGCAUACGAUCUAUGGAUGAAAGCGGGGGAUCGCAAGACCUCGCGCGAUUGGAUCUGCGGAUAUCAGAUUAGGUAGUUGGUGGGGUAAAGGACAACCAAGACAACGAUCUGUAGCUGGUCUGAGAGGACGACCAGCCACAAUGGAACUGAGACACGGUCCAGACUCCUACGGGAGGCAGCAGUGGGGAAUUUUGGACAAUGGGCGAAAGCCUGAUCCAGCCAUUCCGCGUGCAGGAUGAAGGCCCUCGGGUUGUAAACUGCUUUUGUACAGAACGAAAAGGUUUCUACUAAUACUAGGAGCUCAUGACGGUACUGUAAGAAUAAGCACCGGCUAACUACGUGCCAGCCGCCGCCGUAA